UGUCUCACAUUUGUCCAACUGCCUUUUCACAGCCGUUUUCCAGGCUCCCUGCUCCACGGCCCUGCAAUCCGCUUAAAAACCAAUCUUCAUGUUCUGCACGGAGCUUCGUGCUACAUGAGGGUUUCAUUUUGUCUCCCUUCGCCGCUCCUAAUUGUGCUUUAAAAGUCGAGCCGACAGCAGCGGACCCAGUUCACCCACAGCAGCAGCUACCCUUUUGGAGCAGAGAGAACAAUUUAUGCAGUCACAGAGAUGCCCAAAAUACUUGAGUGGGACACCAACGGAACAAGAGAUACCACAUCAUGAGUUUUAGGUCUUCAACAUGGAAUGAGAGCUUACGAAUCAGCCAAGCAAUCCUGGGAGAAAUCCUCCAUAGCGGUCUCACCUACAACUCCUUGAGCAAUGAUUCUUUACCAGCUUUCCCUUCAAUUCCAUCUAGAAAAUUCUUUCUAGACACUUAACAUGGUUUUCAAAGAAACACUCUUCUGCCUCAGGCUGUAUCAGUUUGCAUAAUAUUUUGUCAUAUUACAAGACCACAUUCAUGGACACAGGGGCAUAGAUCACUUUAGGGUCAAUCCCAACUGACUCUUCCUGAGCACCCAUCUCCCCUGGUGGCUGCAGGAGAACCCAUGGCAGCCCAUGCUCAUCUGAGGAGUCCACUGACCACCUACAGAAUUACUCUGUCA